AAGUUGUAAUUUAAAGACCGGCGGGAACCUUCUUUGAUCUUUCUAAGAUACUUCGAGGGACACAGACGGCUCUUACUGUUCUUAACAACUUUAUAAAACAAUGGCUUUGAUGAAGCUUCUAAAUACCCGCCCUGACACGCCAUAUUUCCGGCCACCCCCACUGCACUUCAAAGUAUUAAGAUCAUGCGACCAGCUGAGGGUCACUAGCUGGCACUUCGAAGAUGGGACAGCUAAACCACUGAUAACCAAAAAGAACACAGUGGCAGCCAUCACAGAUAGCCAGACUGUGACCAAGGUCACGAUAUUUGAGGAGUUUGCCUCUAAAAUCCAGCAGGGGGGGUGCUACAUAAUGAGAGGAUAUGAACUCAGGGGCACGGCCCCACCAUACAAUAUAAAUAUAACUGCACGAACACAAUUUUUUAGGGCACCCACCCUAACUGUGACUGAAGAUCGUUUCACAGAAGCAGAGCAUCUUCUGGAUCCUCCUGCUCCACUCACACCUCUGAAGAUGAGCUCCACAAAUGGCGGGCUCAUCACAGUCCAAGGGGAGGUGGUGGAGUUUUCUGCAGUAAAGGACGUACUGUCCGGAAAACAGCACGUUCCCUUGCGGAAUCUACAGCUAAAGGAGGAUGGGUACACCAUGUCAGUCUGCCUCUGGAGGGAGGCAGGAAUUUACACCUUUAAUGUGGGAGACCAGAUUAACCUCUCCCACAUGAAGCUGAACCACACCGCAUAUGGGCCACAGCUGCACAGCACUACUUAUACAAAGAUUGAGACAAAAGUAGAGGACAGAGCAGAGGUCCUGAUCAUUGGUGUGGCUACGAGUGACAAGCCGAACCAGCUUGAAGUGCUUUUGGAUGAUGGGCAGAGUCUCUUCAUCGACAGUGAGCUCUGGCAACCAUUUGAUAAUGAACUUGAGGAGGCAGCGGUCAGGGUAAAAGUUCAAAUUAAAGGCAAGCAAAUUAUGCAGAUUGAAAAAAAAUCACUGUGAAUAAUUUAAAAAAUGUACAGUUCCUUUGUUUGUUACUUGUUUGUUUGUUCAAAAAUAUAAAAUGUUAUAUUUUAUAAAUUAAAAACAAUGAAGUUCAUUUUUUCUAUGUAUUUAUAAUUUUUAAUCACACAUUGUUCAAUACUUAAGUGACAGCAACAUAAAUGAAAAGUUUGCCAGUUUACAAAUUCUAGUUGGUGUCCAUUAUGCCCAAUUCAGGGUAAUUUUGCCAGUUUCCAUUGUAUUUGCUUUUAUUUUUAUUACAAAGUAUAUAUUAAAAUGAAGACCUUUGUGUAAAUUUAUAUACACAGGUAUAUAAAAUAAUUAUUCUGUUUGUUUUUUUAUUAUCAAGUAGAGACUGUUCAUUAGAAUCUAGCCCUGUACCAUAGUUAACUGUUUUAACUUUAACUUAUUUUUGAAAUCAAAAAAUCAAAUAAAUAGCUGGA
ensembl:lncRNA